CAGUAGCCGCGGUAAUGCGUAGGUGGCAAGCGUUGUCCGGAAUUAUUGGGCGUAAAGGGCUCGCAGGCGGUUUCUUAAGUCUGAUGUGAAAGCCCCCGGCUCAACCGGGGAGGGUCAUUGGAAACUGGGAAACUUGAGUGCAGAAGAGGAGAGUGGAAUUCACGUGUAGCGGUGAAAUGCGUAGAGAUGUGGAGGAACACCAGUGGCGAAGGCGACUCUCUGGUCUGUAACUGACGCUGAGGAGCGAAAGCGUGGGGAGCGAACAGGAUUAGAUACCCCUGUAGUCCCUGUCUCUUAUACA
rnacentral:rRNA from 1 species